rnacentral:rRNA from 1 species
AUUGAACGCUGGCGGCAGGCCUAACACAUGCAAGUCGAGCGAGCGGCGGACGGGGGAGAGAUAUCUGGGAAACUGCGUGAUGGAGGGGGAUAACUCCUGGAAACGGUAGCUAAUACCGCAUACCAUCAGAUUUGCCCAGAUGGGAGUAGCUAGUAGGAGGGGUAACGGCGCACCUAGGCGACGAUCCCCAGCUGGGCUGCGAGGAUGACCAGCCACACUGGAACUGAGACACGGUCCAGACGCCUACGGGAGGCAGCAGUGGGGAAUAUUGCACAAUGGGCGCAAGCCUGAUGCAGCAAUGCCGCGUGUGUGAAGAAGGCCUUCGGGUUGUAAAGCACUUUCAGCGGGGAGGCGUGACCCGCAGAAGAAGCACCGGCUAACUCCGUGCCAGCAGCCGCGGUAAGUC